CAGCACACACCAACCAGCCCCUUCCGUGCUGCGAUGUGCAUGCUGGUGGCCAAAGUGUGGUGCGAGAGGU
rfam:Trypanosoma rangeli SC58 Cont11029, whole genome shotgun sequence.